rnacentral:rRNA from 1 species
ACCCAACCGCAAGGAGGGAGCUGCCGAAGGUGGGACCGAUAACUGGGGUGAAGUCGUAACAAGGUAGCCGUAUCGGAAGGUGCGGCUGGAUCACCUCCUUUCUAAGGAA